GAUACAAGGUGCAUAGCUCAGAACCGAGUAAGCCGGUUUAAAUGUUUUCUGAAGCGUGGAUCUCAGCCUCUUUUACCUCUUAUCUCAAAAGAUGACACUUUCAGAGUCCUUUCCGAGCUUCACGAACAGAGUUUAGCGAUUGAGUUCAGCAGAUCAGGUUCCAUUCAUCCAAAAAGAUUGAAACGAGUUGUGUUCUCAGAGCUGAUCUCUGCGGUGAUCUCUGCUAAGGUUUAGGUUUUGUCGUCGAAUACAAUUUAAUUAUGCACAUUAUUACGUGGCGAUUUGAUUCAAAUUAUUUUGCUUCUUUUUGGUUGGUUGUGUUUGCUUAAUUAAUUAAUUAAUGUUCGUCUCUAUUGGAAUGCAGAUAAAGAUCUAGAGUUACGGAAGCACACGCUGAGAUCAUCGCAGUAAGGUUGUCCUAGAGACAAACAGAGAGAGAGGUUUUGAAGAGGUGUGAAACUUAAAUCAGGGCCAAAAAUACAUGUGUUUGUGGAAUGGACUAUGCAGAUGGAGUAUUACUUCGAUGGGUUGCUCUUCUUUUAUAGCAGCUGAAAUCAAUUAUAGAGAAACCAACACUAGAGUUGUUUAAAUUUAAUUCAGUAUGAAAACCAUCUGAGCACGACGAUGACAUUGAGAUACUGACUCAUGAAGAGAGAGAAUGCUUGAGAAGAAUCUGACUGAAUAUGAACAGCAGCUUGGUUCUUGGUAGAAGAGGAUUCUUUGAUGGUGUAAUGAAAAUUUUGCAUCAGCAUUGGAAGCACAAGGAGGUUGCAUUGGUUUGAAGACUUCGAAGCGAACUGUGAUUUAAAGGAGGAAUCUCUAGGCUAAGCUCGAACUAAGGAUGACAGUGGAGUGAUCUCUGCAACUUAUUGUUAACAAGAAUUUUGUUGAUUAUACACUAACGUUCAUAUAUAUAUUUGGCGAGAACUACAAACAUCCUUCAUCAAAACUGAUACCACAGAAUUUUUGAGGAAAAGAACAGUGAUACAAACGUCUGUUUAAAAGCUCGGUGUAAGUAUAAUGAAUGAAAAUCUCUCCUAUCAUUAAUUUGAUUGAGAGAAUGCUUUUGUAUACCCCGCUUGAAUGGAUCGUUACUCAGUUAUGUUGUUGUUGCAGUCGCUGAAUUUCUUUGCUUACCAGAGAAAGCACCAUUGAAGAUAUGAAGGAGUUUGGUAAAUCUUCAAGACUCUGCUUUUGAGUUAUGUUGAUGCAAGUGGGAGCUGUAACAAAAUUACGUUCUUUGGUUGGAUCACAUUAUUUUUCAUUUACUGUGGUAGUAUAUGAAUUACUAUAAAAGGAGUUCCCUUUUCCUCUUCUUCAGUUGCUGAGCUUCUGCUAAGGUGAUAGUAGAUCUGGGAGGGAAGUGGUGGCGUUGGGAAAGAAGAUGGUUGUGAAGCAAGUGAAAGAGACAAUUGUGCAGGAGAUGGGUAUGAAGGUGCUGCAGAUUCUAUUGAAUCCUUUUCUUUCUGUGUGAGAGAUAGAAACGCAAAAGAGAGGUUAUGUAUCAACAAAUGUAAAAGUUUCAAAGAUGUGAGAAAACUCAACUAUAGGUGAAACAAGCUUUACCUGCUCAAAGACUGUAUCCAUGGAAGAAUUUCUUGGAAAAGAUAAAUCUGCCAAAAUAUUCA